UUUUUUUCAAUAACACGUUUUUUGUUAAAAAUUUACAUGAUUUGGAUUCAAAAUUCAACAACAAUUACAAAAAAACAAUACAAUUUACAAAACAGUCGGACUUACUUCUUUAUGGAGAACUGAGAGGAUUUCAAGUUGAGUUUCAAAGUAGAUGGUGCCACUGCAGCAUAUUUUCAAGACAUGACAGAACCUGAUUCAUUUCUGGUUUAGCAUCCAUGGAGAAUACAUGCGUCGUUAAAUUCUUGUUAAAAUUACACUCCUGAUGUCGUGUGGUUUUACCUGGAAUUUAGCCUACGUUUUCCAUUUUGUGCUUUACAACUGUAAAGUAAACUCAUACUUAGUUGAAGGUCUCAGAACUGUGCCCGAUGUGCUGUGAUGGCCACAGGACCCUUUUUGUGACAGAAUGCAAUGCCACAAAUGUUUUGUUGCCACUGUAAAUAAAAGAUCUUAAGUGUC